rnacentral:sRNA from 1 species
CGGAAGGAUCAUUACAGUGUUCCUGCCCUCACGGGUAGAAACCCCACCCUUGUGUAUUAUAUAUUGUUGCUUUGGCGAGCCGCCAUCAGGCCUGGGCUUCGGCUCGGUUGUGCUCGUCAGAGGACCCUAAACUCUGAAGUAUUAUGUCGUCUGAGUACUAUUUAAUAGUUAAAACUUUCAACAACGGAUCUCUUGGUUCUGGCAUCGAUGAAGAACGCAGCGAAAUGCGAUAAGUAAUGUGAAUUGCAGAAUUCAGUGAAUCAUCGAAUCUUUGAACGCACAUUGCGCCCCUUGGUAUUCCGAGGGGCAUGCCUGUUCGAGCGUCAUAUUGACCAACUCCCGCUUCUGCGGGGUCUUGGGCUUCGCCUCUGGGCGGGCCUCAAAAUCAGUGGCGGUGCCUAUUUGGCCCUACGCGUAGUAAUACUCCUCGCGAUAGGGACCGGUAGUUGCUGGCCAGUAACCCCCAAC